rnacentral:rRNA from 1 species
ACAUGCAAGUCGAGCGGAUGAAGGUAGCUUGCUACCGGAUUCAGCGGCGGACGGGUGAGUAAUGCUUAGGAAUCUGCCUAUUAGUGGGGGACAACGUUCCGAAAGGAGCGCUAAUACCGCAUACGUCCUACGGGAGAAAGCAGGGGACCUUCGGGCCUUGCGCUAAUAGAUGAGCCUAAGUCGGAUUAGCUAGUUGGUAGGGUAAAGGCCUACCAAGGCGACGAUCUGUAGCGGGUCUGAGAGGAUGAUCCGCCACACUGGGACUGAGACACGGCCCAGACUCCUACGGGAGGCAGCAGUGGGGAAUAUUGGACAAUGGGGGGAACCCUGAUCCAGCCAUGCCGCGUGUGUGAAGAAGGCCUUUUGGUUGUAAAGCACUUUAAGCGAGGAGGAGGCUACCUGGAUUAAUACUUUAGGAUAGUGGACGUUACUCGCAGAAUAAGCACCGGCUAACUCUGUGCCAGCAGCCGCGGUAAUACAGAGGGUGCGAGCGUUAAUCGGAUUUACUGGGCGUAAAGCGUGCGUAGGCGGCCAAUUAAGUCAAAUGUGAAAUCCCCGAGCUUAACUUGGGAAUUGCAUUCGAUACUGGUUGGCUAGAGUAUGGGAGAGGAUGGUAGAAUUCCAGUGUAGCGGUGAAAUGCGUAGAGAUCUGGAGGAAUACCGAUGGCGAAGCAGCCAUCUGGCCUAAUACUGACGCUGAGGUACGAAAGCAUGGGGAGCAAACAGGAUUAGAAUACCCUGGUAGUCCAUGCCGUAACGAUGUCUACUAGCCGUUGGGGNCCUUGAGGCUUUAGUGGCNCAGCUAACGCCGAAUAAGUAGACCGCCUGGGGAGUACGNCCGCAAGACUNAACUCAAUGAAUUGACGGGGCCCGCACAAGCGGUGGAACAUGUGGUUAAUUCGAUGCAACGCGAAGAACCUUACCU